GGACUGGGCAGGACAAAGUGUCAGCGACAUAGUUUCUGCGAUAUGUGGAUUUAUAACAGUACUUUCAGGAACAGUCAUGCUCCAUGUCACUAGAGAGCAGGAACCAGUUCCUUUGCCAGGAACUGUAACAUGGUACGAUGGGGAUCAAAUAAAGGCUAUAGAGGAUGGACAUUACAUCAUGUUGCAUGAUUCAGAAUACUUAGACUCGUAUAGUGUCUCGACGAAGAAUUAGAGAGGUUGAUUGCAGAACUGGAAGUUCUAUCACAGCGCAUACUUGAUUUGUGCAGUAGAGGGAAUGAGGUUCUGACUUCUCCUUUAAGCUGAUUGAUCUUGAGCUUCACAACUGCCUGCCAAUUUCUUCCUAUGUGCAUAAGGCUAGAGGGAGAGGUUUCGAUUUUUCCAAGAUUUCUUGAGCAACAUGGGGAUACAUCUGGACUUGCAAAUCUCUAAUUGGCUAAUUGCAGUCGGGGGUUUGUACAUAUAUGGCUUCCUUCUAGUGUAAUUAUUCAUUAUUUUUUUCAUAGUGAGGCAUAGCAUAUCAAGCAUAUGCUUUUUCUGAAGUAUGA
rnacentral:misc_RNA from 1 species